AUGUGGGUCUUCUACCUGAUAUCGCUGCCCCUGACGCUGGGCAUGGUCGUCGUCACGCUGCGCUACUUCGCCGGCCCCGGCGUGCCGCGCUACGUCCAGGCCACCGUCGGCUACGCCUGGUUCUGCUCCCUCUCCGUCAUCAUCCUCGUCCCCGCCGACAUCUGGACGACAUUAACUGGCUUUGAUAAAGGUGGAAUUGGCUUCUUUUGGGGCUGGUCUUAUUGGAGCACAUUUAUCCUAACAUGGGCUGUAGUUCCUACUAUUCAAGGCUAUGAAGAUGCUGGAGAUUUCACUGUUAGAGAAAGGCUAAAAACUAGUAUUCACAUGAACCUGCUCUUUUAUUCAAUUGUGGGAGCUAUUGGCCUCUUUGGACUCAUACUGCUUUUAGUCAUGCAUAGAGCUUGGGAUGGAGGUCUUGUGGGCUUUUUAAUGGCUUGCUCAAAUACCUUUGGACUGGUGACUGGUGCUUUUCUUCUUGGUUUUGGAUUGAGUGAAAUUCCAAGAAACAUUUGGAAAAACGCAGACUGGACUCACCGCCAAAAAGUACUUUCUCAUAGAGUUGCCAAGAUGGCCGUGAAGCUUGAUAAUGCUCAUCAAGAGUAUUCAAAUUCAAUUGUUGUUGCUCAAGCCACUUCAAAUCAAAUGUCAAAGCGUGAUCUCUUAAGACCUUAUAUGGAUAUUAUUGACCGAAUGGUUGCUCAAAUGCUGCGGGAUGACCCAUCUUUUAAGCCUUCUGGUGGCAGAUUAGGCGAAAAUGAUAUGGACUAUGAUACAGAUGAUAAAACAAUGGCCACUCUCCGACGUCAGCUUAGGAUGGCCCAUGAGGAGUAUUAUCGGUGUAAAAGUGAAUAUAUGACUUAUGUCAUGGAAGCUCUCGAUCUAGAGGACACUAUUAAAAAUUAUGAACAUCGUGAUGCAAAUGGAUGGAAAUAUGUAUCGAGUUUUAGGGAGAGUCGGUCAGGCACACUGGGAUCCCUUUUGGACACUAUGGAGUUCAUUUGGCGUUGUAUACUGAGAAAGCAGCUUCAGAAAGCACUGGCUGUUAUUCUCGGCUGCAUGUCAGCUGCUAUACUGUUGGCUGAAGCUACUUUGCUGCCAGGUGGUGUUGAUUUAUCACUUUUUUCCAUUCUUGUAAAAUCCGUCGGAAAGCAGGAGGUUCUAGUCCAGGUUGCUGCAUUUGUCCCUUUGAUGUAUAUGUGUAUAUGCACAUACUAUUCGCUAUUUCAGAUUGGGAUGUUAAUGUUUUAUUCUCUGACUCCACGGCAAACAAGUUCUGUCAGUUUGCUUAUGAUCUGUUCGAUGGUUGCAAGAUAUGCACCUCCCAUUUCUUAUAAUUUCCUGAAUCUCAUUCGCCUUGGUGGUAAUGUUAAAACUACUUUUGAGAAGAGAAUGGGGAACAUAGAUGACGCAGUUCCUUUCUUUGGAAGACGUUUCAACAGGAUCUACCCACUAAUUAUGGUUGUUUAUACACUACUUGUUGCUAGUAACUUCUUUGGACGUGUGAUUGACUAUUUUGGAAGCUGGAAAAUGUUUAAGUUCCAGCGUGAAGAAGAACAUAUGGAUGGUUUUGAUCCGUCUGGAAUUAUUAUUCUGCAAAAAGAGAGAUCUUGGAUUGAGCAAGGAUAUAAAGUUGGCGAGCAGGUUAUUCCAUUGGCAAGAUUCAAUGGCGCGAGCACAGAUGUUGAAUCUGGAAAGAUUGAAGAUACAGUGGAGAUGAAAGCGGGGACAACUUCUUCGAGAGUUGAUGGAAGAGCCGGUCAAUCUAAAUAUAUUCACAACAGGGAAAUGAUUUCCAACAAGUAUUCAUCUGUUAGAGAUCAGAGUCGGCAGGCAACAAAGCCAGUGAAAAAGGAAACUGUGUCGACAUCUGCAUCUCUGCUUGAAGAAGGGAAUUCUGAAAAUCGCUCGGCUGCUGGAAUCUCCCAAACAUGGGCUUCAGUGAAGAAUGGUUUUCAGAACUUCAAAGCGAAUAUGGGUGCCAAGAAGUUCACUCCUUUGCGCCAGGAUCCAGGAUUUGCUCCUCAUUCGAACGUCUCUUCGCCUGAAUCUCUCGAUGACAUCUUCCAAAGGAUAAAACGGCGCUCCGGAGAAUCACCCAUAGAUUACCUUGAUGAUGAUGACGACGACGAUGACAAUACCGGAGACAUGGAUCCUCCGUUUGCAGGAUCGAGAAGAUAG
rnacentral:rRNA from 1 species